rnacentral:tRNA from 1 species
ACGGGUGUAGCUCAGUAGGCUAGAGCAUUGGUCUCCAAAACCAAAGGUCGUGAGUUCGAUUCUUACCACCCGUGCUA